rnacentral:rRNA from 1 species
AUACGGAGGAUGCGAGCGUUAUCCGGAUUUAUUGGGUUUAAAGGGAGCGUAGGCGGGAGCUUAAGUCAGCGGUUAAAUGGUGCGGCUCAACCGUGCCCUGCCGUUGAAACUGGGUUUCUUGAGAGUGCAAGAGGCGGAUGGAAUUCAUGGUGUUGCGGUGAAAUGCUUAGAUAUCAUGAAGAACUCCGAUUGCGAAGGCAGUCCGCUGGGGCACGUCUGACGCUGAUGCUCGAAGGUGCGGGAAUCAAACAGGAUUAGAUACCCUGGUAGUCCGCACGGUAAACGAUGAUUACCCGCUGUCGGCGGCAGACAGUCGGCGGCCAAGCGAAAGCGAUAAGCCAUCCACCUGGGGAGUACGACCGCAAGGUUGAAACUCAAAUGAAUCGGCGGGG